rnacentral:rRNA from 1 species
UACGGGGGGGGCAAGCGUUGUUCGGAAUUACUGGGCGUAAAGCGCGUGUAGGCGGCUGGUCAAGCGUGGUGUGAAAUCUCCGGGCUCAACCCGGAAACUGCAUUGCGAACUGACCUGGCUGGAGUGCAGGAGAGGGCAGCGGAAUUCCCGGUGUAGCGGUGAAAUGCGUAGAUAUCGGGAAGAACACCAGUGGCGAAGGCGGCUGCCUGGCCUGUAACUGACGCUGAGACGCGAAAGCGUGGAGAGCGAACCGG